rnacentral:lncRNA from 1 species
CCCAGACAUUAUAGAAAAAUUCACAAUUCUCUCAACUCACGUGUUUAACUUUCAAGCACUCACUUGGUAUCUCAAAAGUGCACUUCAGAAUAAAGACUCAAUAAGCCAAGCUUGUAUGAUUCAAAUAAUAAGGAAAGCAAGGAAAGACCUAAUAAGAAAAGAUAGGAAACAACACUAGAUGCAAACUGACCAAAAUGAACAAAU